rnacentral:rRNA from 1 species
UCGGACGGGGUCAGUAACGCGUGAGAAUCUGCCGAAGGGACGGGGAUAACCACGGGAAACGGUGGCUAAUACCGGAUGAGCCGAAAGGUAAAAGAUUUAUCGCCCUUCGAGGAGCUCGCGUCCGAUUAGCUAGUUGGUGAGGUAAAAGCUCACCAAGGCAGCGAUCGGUAGCUGGUCUGAGAGGAUGAGCAGCCACACUGGGACUGAGACACGGCCCAGACUCCUACGGGAGGCAGCAGUGGGGAAUUUUCCGCAAUGGGCGCAAGCCUGACGGAGCAAUACCGCGUGAGGGAGGAAGGCUCUUGGGUUGUAAACCUCUUUUCUCAGGGAAGAAGUUCUGACGGUACCUGAGGAAUAAGCAUCGGCUAACUCCGUGCCAGCAGCCGCGGUAAUACGGAGGAUGCAAGCGUUAUCCGGAAUUAUUGGGCGUAAAGCGUCCGCAGGUGGCAUUUCCAGUCUGCUGUCAAAGACCAAGGCUCAACCUUGGGCAGGCAGUGGAAACUGAAAAGCUAGAGUGCGGUAGGGGUAGGGGGAAUUCCCAGUGUAGCGGUGAAAUGCUAAGAGAUUGGGAAGAACACCGGUGGCGAAAGCGCCCUACUAGGCCGCAACUGACACUCACGACGGAGCCCCAUCGAAG